UCCCUGGUGGUACAGUGGCUAAAAUGAUGCAUUCCCAAUACAUGGGACCCAGGUUCAAUCCUUGGUCAGGGAG
rfam:Ovis aries breed Texel chromosome 1, whole genome shotgun sequence.